UUUUAAAUAUUUUAGAGGAAUUUAUUCUGGUAAAGGAUUUGACACCAAAAAUCUUACUUUUAUUUGUAUUAAAACAGUUUACAUACCUCUAUUUUAGAAUAUUUACGAUAUAUUCUAAUAAUACUAUUAUCUAUAGUAAUUUUUUAGGUAAAGGUGUAGCUUAUAUAAAAGAAGUGAAAUAAACUUAUAAUAAUUUUAAUUAUUUUAACAAAAUUUAAAUGUAAAUAAUAAUUUAGUAAAAUUUAAAAGUAAAAUUAGUAUAUUUAGCUGAUUUGAAUUAGAUUUUAUAAGUGUACAUAUUGCCCGUCACUCUCUUAUUAGAGAUAAGUCGUAUCAUAGUAAGG
rnacentral:rRNA from 1 species